rnacentral:pre_miRNA from 1 species
AAUAAGUACAGUUUUGCACUGUUCACGUUCAACGUUUGACCGUUCAUUUUAUUUGAAUUUUUUUAUGGUUAGUAUUUUUAUUGCUCUUAGAUGAUAAAACAUGAAUAGUACUUUAUGUGUGACUAAAUAUUUUCAAAUUUUUCACAAAAUUUUCAAAUAAGACGGACAGUCAAACGUUGGACACGGAUAUUCACGGCUGCACUUAUU